UGCGUAGGCGGCUGAUUAAGUCGGAUGUGAAAUCCCUGAGCUUAACUUAGGAAUUGCAUUCGAUACUGGUCAGCUAGAGUAUGGGAGAGGAUGGUAGAAUUCCGGGUGUAGCGGUGAAAUGCGUAGAGAUCUGGAGGAAUACCGAUGGCGAAGGCAGCCAUCUGGCCUAAUACUGACGCUGAGGUACGAAAGCAUGGGGAGCAAACA
rnacentral:rRNA from 1 species